rnacentral:lncRNA from 1 species
GCCCACACCCGCCCUGCCCCGCCCACACCCGCCCGGACCCGCCCACACCCGCCCCGGGUGAGCGGAGCUUGCCUCCCUGGCGCCGCUGGCCACAGGUGGUGAGCGCGCAAGGCCACGGCUGCCCGCUGGCCCGGAGACUGCGGCGCAUGGUCCGGGCCACUCGUCUGAGCCGCGGACCCGGGCGUCUCUCAGGCAGCAGAGCGGCCACUAGGUACCCGACACCCGUGUGCGGGGAGCACCACUGGCCCUUCCCUACGGGAGAACUGGACCAGAUCCGGGCCGGCCGUGGGUCCCAUCUGCUCCUCUUCUGUGUGAGUUCUCCCCCUCCCCGGUUUCUGGAUGCCGCUCUGCUUACUGCCCCGCUUCCCUUCUUCCUCCCCAGGCUCGAGCUGAUCCUCCCCCUCCAAGCUUGUCCCCCUCUGGGCUUUUGCACUUGCUGUCCCCCUGCCUGGAACCCUCUUCCCCCAGAUCUGCGUGUGGGUCCCCGUCGCCUCUUUGGGUCUCUGCUCAGUGUCCACUCCUCGGAGAGGCCUUGCCGGCCUCGGACAGGGCUGCCUCUGGAAGAACUCAACCUAAGACAGCUAGAGAAGAUUCCAGAAGAUUUCAGAUCUGGGGCAAGGACACCCAGUAGUGCUGGGUACCCUCUGCCGCCCCCACCAGAAGCCACCUCACGUCACUGGGCCACACUGGGGGAUCCCGGCCGGCCCUGGGCUUCAGAUGGGGGCGGAGGGCCCCCCACCGGCUCCCCUGCUUUGCCCAGUGCCAUGGCUGUCCAAGGAUGCUCAGUGCUGCUGGCAAACCAGCGCUGUUCCACCUUCCAGCGCCUCGUCCCCUUUCCACAGCCGGCUUCUCUGCCAGGCUGGGCCUCACGGUGCUGGGGACACAGCCGCCGGGUACCACGGAAACGUUUGCUGGAAGAGUUUGAAUUCAGGAGAUGGAGUCUAACAGGUAUUUGUCAUUCCGGACAAAGAAACACAGCCCCACUCCUCCUGCUGGGCCCGCAGGCCGCCAGCUCCGGCUCCUCGGAGCCCAGCCUGGCCCUCUGCCCGCACCCGGCGCUCGAUGGGGCCUUUGGGGAGAAGAAAGAUUGUCUAUAGGUAUCAACAUUGCUUUCCUUUUAAAAAUUUUUUUUAUUUUAAACCUCCCCACAAUUCAAACGUUUCUCUUAUUAUCUUCUGCUGAGGGAAAAAAUUAAUAACACAGUGCAAUAUAAAAUACUAAAUUAAAGGCAUCUUGGAACCAG